rfam:Tritrichomonas foetus strain K scaffold_818, whole genome shotgun sequence.
GCCUCGGUAUUAUAACGGUUAGAAUAGAUGCUUUACACGCAUUUGACCGCGGUUCGACUCCGCGCCGAGGCA